UAUUUUUAUAAUAGUAAAAUGCCUUUGACGCAGUUGAAUAAAAUGGCUUUUCCGUUAGUCGGAAUGGCAAGUUCAUGACAUGUGGACCUUUUUUUAUUAAUUUUUUAAUUAAAAAAAAAAACUCUAUAAUCCUGCUCGUGUUCUUUCUCUCACUUCAUGCGACAUGAAGUCUCUUCUUUUCUUCCAACAGCGCUAACGUCUCUCCUUCGUUGCGGUCGAUUUCCGGUGAAGAAAGAGACAGUGAGACCAACAACGACCUCGUACCCUUUUCUCUUUGUCUCUCUCUCGUGUCCACAAAGCCCGUAUCAUUAGUUCUGGUGAUUUUGCCCGGCUGCGGUUUGGGUAGCCAUGAAAACCGAUAAGCUCAAGCUAUUUCAGGCUAAAGAUCCGCACCUUUGACGAUUGAGCACACCAAUAGCGUCGGCUCAACGCAAAGAAUAAUAAAAUCGACUCCAUUAUCGCAGAUCAAGGUCGUCAUCUCAAACGGUCAUGGAGACAGUUGUGUUCCAGCGAGAUUUCCUCCAACUCCGGCGAGAGCAAGGUCGCCAACAAAGCUAACUUAAUCAAUAAAGCAAGUCAGAUUUAUUUGUCCCCAGGGAGGGGACAGAUUUAUUGGCUACUUAUGUUGAUUUCUGGGUAAGAAAGUGGAGAAAUAGCUCAGUAGAAGUACAGAUGAGGAAGAAAGCUUCUGAUGUGCCUUAUUGAUUAUUUUGAUUGGCAAAUUGAAGGCAUUGAUGAUUUUGAUUGGCAAAUUGAAGAUGUGAGAGAGAAAAAUGUUUUUUCUCAAAGAAAAAGAGGUUUUCGUUCUCAAAGGGAGAGAAAAGAUUGCAGAAGAUGUGAGCGAAAGAGGCUGAGCCGGAGGAGAGAAGGUUUUUUCUAAUUAAAAAAUUAAUAAAAAAAGAUCCACGUGUUGCACACAUGUCAUUCCGCCGAACGGAAAUAGGCUAAAGUGAUUGCAUACAUGUCACUUAAUUUCAUUAAAUCCAAUGAUUAUAUAGUAAAAUUUAUAUGAAUUUUUGAAACAAAUUAUAUUAAAUAUAUGUAAAAUAUGAUUUGAAAGUAAA